ACCGAAUGGCGUAGUGGUUAGUGACCCUGACUAGUGAGCCGAUGGUCCCGGGUUCGAUUCCCGGCUGGGGUA
rnacentral:tRNA from 1 species